UACAGAGGGUGCGAGCGUUGUUCGGAAUUACUGGGCGUAAAGCGCGCGCAGGCGGCCCUUUAAGUCCGUCGGUCAAAUGCCGGGGCUCAACCCCGAGCGUGCCGAGGAUACUGGAGGGCUGGAGACACGUAGAGGCAAGCGGAAUUCUGGGUGUAGCGGUGGAAUGCGUAGAGAUCCGGAAGAACACCGGAGGCGAAGGCGGCUUGCUGGGCGUGAUCUGACGCUGAGGCGCGAAAGCGUGGGGAGCGAACAGG
rnacentral:rRNA from 1 species